AAUAUUGCACAAUGGGCGAAAGCCUGAUCCAGCCAUGCCUCUUGUGUGAAGAAGGUCUUCGGUUUGUAAAUCACUUCAAGUUGGGAGGUAGGGGUUGAAGCUAAUACCUUCAAUCUUUGACGUUACCAACUUAAUAAGCACCGGCUAACUCUGUGCCUGCAGCCGCGGUAAUACUGAGGGUGCAAGCGUUAAUCGGAAUUACUGGGCGUAAAGCGCGCGUAGGUGGUUCAGUAAGAUGGAAAUGAAAUCCCCGGGCUUAACCUGGGAACUGCUUUCAUAACUGCUGAGCUAGAGUACGGUAGAGGGUAGUGGAAUUUCCUGUGUAGCGGUGAAAUGCGUAGAUAUAGGAAGGAACACCAGUGGCGAAGGCGACUACCUGGACUGAUACUGACACUGAGGUGCGAAAGCGUGGGGAGCAAACAGG
rnacentral:rRNA from 1 species